rnacentral:rRNA from 1 species
GGGUAACCUGCCUGUAAGACUGGGAUAACUCCGGGAAACCGGGGCUAAUACCGGAUGGUUGUUUGAACCGCAUGGUUCAAACAUAAAAGGUGGCUUCGGCUACCACUUACAGAUGGACCCGCGGCGCAUUAGCUAGUUGGUGAGGUAACGGCUCACCAAGGCAACGAUGCGUAGCCGACCUGAGAGGGUGAUCGGCCACACUGGGACUGAGACACGGCCCAGACUCCUACGGGAGGCAGCAGUAGGGAAUCUUCCGCAAUGGACGAAAGUCUGACGGAGCAACGCCGCGUGAGUGAUGAAGGUUUUCGGAUCGUAAAGCUCUGUUGUUAGGGAAGAACAAGUACCGUUCGAAUAGGGCGGUACCUUGACGGUACCUAACCAGAAAGCCACGGCUAACUACGUGCCAGCAGCCGCGGUAAUACGUAGGUGGCAAGCGUUGUCCGGAAUUAUUGGGCGUAAAGGGCUCGCAGGCGGUUUCUUAAGUCUGAUGUGAAAGCCCCCGGCUCAACCGGGGAGGGUCAUUGGAAACUGGGGAACUUGAGUGCAGAAGAGGAGAGUGGAAUUCCACGUGUAGCGGUGAAAUGCGUAGAGAUGUGGAGGAACACCAGUGGCGAAGGCGACUCUCUGCUCUGUAACUGACGCUGAGGAGCGAAAGCGUGAGGAGCGAACAGGAUUAGAUACCCUGGUAGUCCACGCCGUAAACGAUGAGUGCUAAGUGUUAGGGGGUUUCCGCCCCUUACUGCUGCAGCUAACGCAUUAAGCACUCCGCCUGGGGAGUACGGUCGCAAGACUGAAACUCAAAGGAAUUGACGGGGGCCCGCACAACCGGUGGAACAUGUGGUUUAAUUCAAAGCAACGCGAAGAACCUUACCAGG